rnacentral:rRNA from 1 species
CACUCCUAACGGGAGGCAGCAGUGGGGAAUUUUGGACAAUGGGCGAAAGCCUGAUCCAGCAAUGCCGCGUGAGUGAAGAAGGCCUUCGGGUUGUAAAGCUCUUUUGUCAGGGAAGAAACGGUGAAAGCUAAUAUCUUUUGCUAAUGACGGUACCUGAAGAAUAAGCACCGGCUAACUACGUGCCAGCAGCCGCGGUAAUACGUAGGGUGCAAGCGUUAAUCGGAAUUACUGGGCGUAAAGCGUGCGCAGGCGGUUUUGUAAGUCUGAUGUGAAAUCCCCGGGCUCAACCUGGGAAUUGCAUUGGAGACUGCAAGGCUAGAAUCUGGUAGAGGGGGGUAGAAUUCCACGUGUAGCAGUGAAAUGCGUAGAUAUGUGGAGGAACACCGAUGGCGAAGGCAGCCCCCUGGGUCAAGAUUGACGCUCAUGCACGAAAGCGUGGGGAGCAAACAGGAUUAGAAACCCCGGUAGUCCC